rnacentral:rRNA from 1 species
ACGGAAGGCAGCAGUGGGGAAUAUUGCACAAUGGGGGGAACCCUGAUGCAGCGACGCCGCGUGAAGGAAGAAGUAUCUCGGUAUGUAAACUUCUAUCAGCAGGGAAGAUAAUGACGGUACCUGACUAAGAAGUCCCGGCUAACUACGUGCCAGCAGCCGCGGUAAUACGUAGGGGACAAGCGUUAUCCGGAUUUACUGGGUGUAAAGGGUGCGUAGGCGGCUAAGCAAGUCAGAAGUGAAAGCCCGCGGCUCAACUGCGGGACUGCUUUUGAAACUGUUUGGCUAGAGUACUGGAGGGGCAAGCGGAAUUCCUGGUGUAGCGGUGAAAUGCGUAGAUAUCAGGAAGAACACCGGAGGCGAAGGCGGCUUGCUGGACAGAGACUGACGCUGAGGCACGAAGGCGUGGGGAGCAAACAGGAUUAGAUACCCUGGUA